rnacentral:misc_RNA from 1 species
UAUUGAAAUAAACCUGAUGAGUUGCUGCUGGUUUUUUUAACAUGUGCACACUUGUCAUCUUUAUAUCUCCACCUGUGCAUCUUUUGUAGACCUGGACAAGUUUCUUAAUGCUACUUAGCAUUGAGGUUUUGGGAUUGACUUUUGUCUUUCCUUACAUUUCUAGGUCUAUGUUUAUUCAUAUACCCUAUUGUAUGUUAUAGAAUGUAAUAAUUAGGCCUUUGUGCCUAUAACACUAUACAACUUUCAGCAACGGAUCUCUUGGCUCUCGCAUCGAUGAAGAACGCAGCGAAAUGCGAUAAGUAAUGUGAAUUGCAGAAUUCAGUGAAUCAUCGAAUCUUUGAACGCACCUUGCGCUCCUUGGUAUUCCGAGGAGCAUGCCUGUUUGAGUGUCAUUAAUAUAUCAACCUCUUCAGCCUUUGCUUGUUGAGUGCUUGGAUGUGGGGGCCUUUUUGCUGGUCUUUUAAAAAGGUCAGCUCCCCUAAAAUGCAUUAGCGGAACAAUUUGUUAAUCGUUUAUUGGUGUGAUAAUUAUCUACGCUAUUGACGUGAAGCAGUUCAGCUUCUAAUGGUCCAUUUAACUUGGACAAUUUUUCAUUAAUGUG